rnacentral:tRNA from 1 species
AUAGCUCAGCUGGCUAGAGCGCUUGCAUGGCAUGCAAGAGGUCCGGGGUUCGAAUCCCCGU